rnacentral:rRNA from 1 species
AUGAACGCUGGCGGCGUGCCUAAUACAUGCAAGUCGAGCGAACAGACGAGGAGCUUGCUCCUCUGACGUUAGCGGCGGACGGGUGAGUAACACGUGGAUAACCUACCUAUAAGACUGGGAUAACUUCGGGAAACCGGAGCUAAUACCGGAUAAUAUAUUGAACCGCAUGGUUCAAUAGUGAAAGACGGUUUUGCUGUCACUUAUAGAUGGAUCCGCGCCGCAUUAGCUAGUUUGUAAGGUAACGGCUUACCAAGGCAACGAUGCGUAGCCGACCUGAGAGGGUGAUCGGCCAGAGUGGAACUGAGACACGGUCCAGACUCCUACGGGAGGCAGCAGUAGGGAAUCUUCCGCAAUGGGGGAAAGCGUGACGGAGCAACGCCGCGUGAGUGAUGAAGGUCUUCGGAUCGUAAAACUCUGUUAUUAGGGAAGAACAAAUGUGUAAGUAACUAUGCACGUCUUGACGGUACCUAAACAGAAAGCCACGGCUAACUACGUG